rnacentral:rRNA from 1 species
GAUGACGACCAGUCAUCCGACGGCGUUAAUUAACGACCCGUCUGGCAACUCCCGGGAAACCAAAGUUUUUCGGUUCCGGGGGAAGUAUGGUUGCAAAGCUGAAACUUAAAGGAAUUGACGGAAGGGCACCACCAGGAGUGGAGCCUGCGGCUUAAUUUGACUCAACACGGGAAAACUUACCCGGCCCGGACACUGGAAGGAUUGACAGAUUGAGAGCUCUUUCUUGAUUCAGUGGGUGGUGGUGCAUGGCCGUUCUUAGUUGGUGGAGCGAUUUGUCUGGUUAAUUCCGAUAACGAACGAGACUCUAGCCUACUAAAUAGACCAGAGGCCUCUUAAAACACGUCUCUGGCUGCUUCUUAGAGGGACAGGCGGCGGUUCAGCCGCACGAAACAGAGCAAUAACAGGUCUGUGAUGCCCUUAGAUGUCCGGGGCUGCACGCGCGCUACACUGAAAGAAUCAGUGGGCGUUAAACCUAGUUCGGAAGAACCGGGUAACCCAAGUAAAUUCUUUCGUGCUUGGGAUAGGGAAUUGCAAUUAUUUCCCUUAAACGAGGAAUUCCCAGUAAAUUCGGGUCAUAAGCUCGAGUUGAUUACGUCCCUGCCCUUUGUACACACCGCCCGUCGCUACUGCCGAUUGGAUGACUUAGUGAGGUCUUAGGACCG